GGGGGCGUAACGGUCUCGACGGGGAUGAUGGGGAUAGAGGUGGCAUGCCGAGGUUCCAAGGCCUCGUAAAACACUUGGAAAAAAAUAAUCGCGAACCUAAGCGAACUGCCUUUAGCUGCUUAAGCAGCUAACGCCUCCUGCCUCUCACCUGUCGGAGGUAAGACAGGCGUCGGUCAGACAGGUUAGCCCCUGUGGACGGGCUCAAGGAAGCAGGGGCGAAUCACGAGAUGAGCUGGUCCUUCUGCUAGCCUGCCUGUAGGCGGGGGAAGGACGAGACGAAAAUACAGGCAAAGCAUGAAGACGCCUCUAUCGAAGCAUCUCCGGACGCGGGUUCGACUCCCGCCGCCUCCACCA
rnacentral:tmRNA from 1 species